ACAGGAGAUAAGUUCUAUAAAAUUUGAAGAUGACGUUCAUAAUAGAUUAAGGAAGUUCCCACUACAGGAGGGAAUAAAUCCCAAGAAGGGUUUCUUAUAAUCCUUAGCAAAUAAGACAAACAAUUUAUCACUUUAAUACCAUGAGAUUCAUCAAUCAAGCAUGUCACAAUGAAAAGAUUUCGUAAUACAAGCAUAAGGAUGUAAAUCAAUCAAGAGAAAUACAACAAAACAUGCUAGGAAAGAAAUAACAAUGACUGUUUUCUCAAACGAAGUUCGAAUCCUGGUUCCUUACAAGACUAAAAGGAUUUAAAAAUAUUAAUUUAAUUAAUUCAUUAGUGAUUAAUACUCAAGGGGAGAAAGAAUUAUAAAUCCAACAAGUUGAUUUCAUACUACAUAAACCAUGGAUCGCACAAGCAACGUUCAGGUUUCAAAAUUCCAAAC
rnacentral:lncRNA from 1 species